rnacentral:rRNA from 1 species
CGCGGCCUAUCAGCUUGUUGGUGAGGUAGUGGCCCACCAAGGCAACGACGGGUAGCCGGCCUGAGAGGGCGACCGGCCACACUGGGACUGAGACACGGCCCAGACUCCUACGGGAGGCAGCAGUGGGGAAUAUUGCACAAUGGGCGCAAGCCUGAUGCAGCGACGCCGCGUGGGGGAUGACGGCCUUCGGGUUGUAAACCUCUUUCACCAUCGGCGAAGCCGGUAGCUUUUGUUGUCGGUGACGGUAGGUGGAGAAGAAGCACCGGCCAACUACGUGCCAGCAGCCGCGGUAAUACGUAGGGUGCGAGCGUUGUCCGGAAUUACUGGGCGUAAAGAGCUCGUAGGUGGUUUGUCGCGUUGUUCGUGAAAUUCCCUGGCUUAACUGGGGGCGUGCGGGCGAUACGGGCAGACUGGAGUACUGCAGGGGAGACUGGAAUUCCUGGUGUAGCGGUGGAAUGCGCAGAUAUCAGGAGGAACACCGGUGGCGAAGGCGGGUCUCUGGGCAGUAACUGACGCUGAGGAGCGAAAGCGUGGGGAGCGAACAGGAUUAGAUACCCUGGUAGUCCACGCCGUAAACGGUGGGUACUAGGUGUGGGUUUCCUUCCUUGGGAUCCGUGCCGUAGCUAACGCAUUAAGUACCCCGCCUGGGGAGUACGG